UGCUUAUUGCAGGGACCCAUUUUGUGGAGGCACACUAGGGAGUCCCUCUAAUUACCAGGUGGCUUUAUCCAAAAAGCUCUUCGUCAGUGAAUUGCAUAAUUGGUUCUUGGAUUUAAGGUACCAUGCAGAUCUAGUGCAGCCUUUUGGAGGUAAUAUGUCUACAUCAACAGACACCUAUAUUUGGGCAACUCAGGGAGAAGAUACAGAGAAGGAGGUUAGGUUAGGUAUACCUUAGGUAUGUGUAGGCUAGUUUGAAAGAUAAAACAUUCACAUAGCAGGUGGGAAAAACAUGACAGCAUUGUGAAAAUAUGCAGUCUUCUUUGCAAAUCCCAGCUGGCAUGUUCCCUAUCAUGGAUUUGCCUUUUGUUGGUCUUGGUCUACUUUGUUUUGUUUAAAGGGAAUCAGCUGCAUUAAUUCUCAUCUUAAAUGCUACGAAGACCUAGGGAUCCAUUUUUUUUGAGAAGUGGAAGGAGGAAGUAGAGGUGUGACCAAGGAGGAAGUAGAGGUGCGGACAUGAUGCUUGGCUUUUCUGCGGACUUGCUGCUGGGGCUCCAUUUGCUUGCUUGUUGGCUCUACCGGUUGCUGUAAACAGCAUGGGGCACUCACAUUUCCUCUAGCCUGUCCAGCCUUCUGUUCCAGGAUUUCUAAUGUGUGGUCCAAGUGCCAACAGAGCACAGCAGCUCCUCUCCAAAAAUGGAGGCCCAUAAAAGGCUCCCACUCCUUGCCCGGCUGAGACUCCACGCUGCCUGUGUCUAACAUUUUCAUCAACUCUGCAAUCAAUCAAGCUCCUAGGAACAAACAGUAAAUACCAAUUUGAAGAAUACAUAAUAAACACCAAAAACUCCUAGAUCAUCUCUCUCUCAACUCAUCCUUCUCCAUCACAUAGCAAAAACUGGUCCAGAGAUAGAUCACAAGCUGAUAGAAUCUAAGGACCCACUGCUUUUGGAAGUUCGAGAAGAUUCCUGGGGAUCCACAGAUGGCAGAGGGGCUGAUCGAGGAAGCUCGCUGCGUGGCAGACUUGCACUGGACACUCCCUGGACUUAUGUAUUCCUCACUAGAAAAGCCUUUUACUUCUUUUACUCUUCUUCUUUCUUCCUUUCUUAACUUACUCACUUUUAACAGCCUCCAUUUUCAGCACAGUAUGAAGGCGAGAUGGAGCCCCAACUGCAGACUUAAUUGAUCAGCCACACACAAGACAAAUAUACAUGAGCAACCAUUCUGUUGUUUCUUCAAAAUCCAGAGGCAGCCCAGGAGGGUCUUUUGGUAUGGAUUUUUCAAUUGAGAAGUUGGACCAGUUUAGUGAACCUUGCUAUCUCUCUCUGAACCUUGAGAAACAUAAUUAAUACAUUUUCAUCUUCAGUGACUAUAUUGUGUGUGUGUGAACUGGAACUGUUCCUGCUGUGUAUUUGAUUCCGCUGACGAUGGGGUGGGGUGGAUUUUAAAUGAUGUGUGAGGACUUCUGUGCUUUCUCUGUGCCGGUUGAUGUGUUAUUCAUGACUUGCAUUACAGACAUGGCUGAUACACAGAUGUAAAUGUUAUUAAAUCUUUUGUAUUUUGGAGGCUUUGUGAAAGGUUUCUUUGUUUUCAAAUAAUUCUCUUAACCACCAAAAAUAACCAGCAAUACAUGACAAUGUCUUGGGAAUGCUUCUUUUUUUCCUUUCUAUUGAGUUUUCUGAUGAAGAGAUUUCCCCUUGUACUGCUGACUUUUCAUCAAAGUCAGAGUAUAGUGCAAGCUGGUAGAUGGGAUUAUAUACUUACGGUAACAAUGCAGAGUUACUUCUUGGGUGACUACGUGGGCAUAUGCAUACCUGUGUAUGGCAUGUAACUAAGUUGUUCUGAGCAUGUGUUCUGUAUGUCCUCUUGUAAACUGUUGUGUGUGCUGUGGGUGUGAACACGUUGAUCAUAUUUUGCUAAAUCAGAACCAAAAGUCACCCAGUCUUGAUUACCUGUCAAAGUUGCAGCUGCUUUACUGCAUUUGGUAUCUGACAUCAAUUUUAAUGUUUUCACUCAAUUCCAUCUUCUUCGAGUUUCUCAGGGUUUCAACAGAAAUGUGGCAGAGGAUAAAGCUCUUCCUACAGACAGUACUUAAUCACCCUGUGCCACACACUGGCUUAUGUUUCUUCUUUAUUGAUUUAAAAUUUCAACAGUGCUCUGAGGCCACAUUAUUCGCCUACUCAAUUACAACUGGCUAGAGUGGAGCAGGCCAGAAAGUACCAGGAUGCACAGCCGAAUAGUGACAGUGGUGGCCUGACUUUCACAGUAUUCCCACCUACCCUAGACAGUGGUGGCACCUGCGGAUCUUUAAGGCAUCCUCUUGGGGCACAAGAGGAUCCUGUCACUCAGAGGAGGGAGGUGGAGCCAAACAACAAAGGUUCAGAGCAAAGAUAUGUAAGACUUUUCUAUCUUUUUUUUCUAUCUGGGUUGCUCAUGCCAAAGGAACAUUCUAGAAGGUUAAUCUUUCUACUGGGUAUCAGCCUUGCAGGCGUUCUGUGCUGGUUGAUAUGGUUUCAUUAUCCCUUUCUCUCUGUGUCCCUCUUUUGUCUUUUAUGGUUUGUCCUGCAUUCCUUCCAGAAUCUCUAACACCCUUGGUCCCCAACAUGGCGUCUAUCUAGCCUUCCUUGGAGUUUUGACUUCUGAAUUGAAAUAGCUUUGCUCCUUUUCACUUCCUGACCUGUCUCAACUUUCCUAAAGAGCAGCUAGUUCCAUGGCACAUGCCAGCAUACUUUCCAAA
ensembl:antisense Gm10248 predicted gene 10248